ensembl:lncRNA
CACACAGAGAACAAUACAUAAUACUUUAGUAACACUUUUUUAUAAGGUUUCAGUUAUUAAGAUUAACUAACAUGAACAAUAAUUAUAUUGCAUGUCAAUGUCAGUUAAUAGUCAAAACUUAAAAAAAAAAUAUAGCUGCAAGCAGCGAUGGCGGGCUCAAGCCAUCAGCGCAAACGCCACCCCGGUGGCAUCAGGUAAACUGUGCCCAGCGGGCACAUGCAUUUACAGUAACCCUCUGGCACUCAGGUUUUAAGGGAUACGGCAAUUAAAGGGUUAAUCCGAACCAUCAAGACUUUGAAAUCACACACACAGAACAAUAUUCAUUAAGAAAGUGAAAUUAUAUGAUUAAUAAUCUAUUUAUUUGAACCCUUGCUAUUUUCUAUUCUAAUAAAAGCCUUGGCUAUGAAUCAUCUGUAAUACAGUUGGCUAGCUGGAUGCAAAUAAAGUCAUGCCUUUUAUUUUGUCUCCUGUUUGCUAUUUCACAUUCCUGUCAUUGAACCGUUGUGGCCAAAGACACAGAAGGUAACUGAAACAAUGUGGUUUAAGUGUGAUCAUAAGGGGUCAAAGCACAAUGGUUUGUGUAGAUGAUGCAGUUACACAAUGGACGUGUCUCUUUUCAAGUAAAUUAUUAUAUGCACAACAUGAAAAUAGAUAACAAAUAUAGUGUCCCUUCUUCACUUUCUCAGUAAUGCGUGAUAACUUGAGAAAUAUGUUGUCAAUACUAUUAAAAUAAGAUAAAAAAGUAAUGGUAUUUAGGAGAUGAUAGUUUUUGCAUAAUUACUAUAUUGGGCUUUAUUAAAGUUCAUGAAAAAAAUGAAUAUAUAUGCAUUUUUUUAAUGCACAUAAAUGAAACAUUUUCAAGUCUUUGAACAGAUCUUGAAGUAUUUGCUAUCCUGUGGCGCCAUCGUGUGGAAAACAUUAGUAUUGUGGCCUUCAUUUCUGAACAACAUUAUGAAAGGGGCCAAUAUUUUUUGAAUGAUUACAAAUAUUUAAUGAUUCUUGUUAGAGCAAAAUAAUAAUAAUAAUAAUAAUAAUAAUAAUAAUAAUAAUAAUAAUAAUAAUAAUAAAUACAUG